UCUAGUGGAAGAAAAGAAGACUGCUGGAAAUAAAACAAACUUCUCCAUCCUAAUUGACCUUCAUCCUCCCAACACCCAAUCCUGUCCCCUAGUGAGAAUCCUAGCCACACAAACCAACCAUAACAAUGCAACCCAUCGAUCAAAGUAAAAGUUAAAGUUUAAGAACUCAAGGAGGUGCCGAUACAAAGGCUAAACCUCCGAUAACCAUCGCAUCGCAUCGCAUCGUUCGGACGACAAUGUGAUGUCAAGGCGAAUCAAGAAGUUCUUCAUGCGAUUCCAACACGCUCCUAAUGUACUGGGAAUGUGGGGAGUGCAGCAGCAUCAGUGCAGCACCAAUGGUCAGAUGCGACGGCUGUGAUAAAUGGUACCACUUCCGUUGCGCGGGACUGUCUAAGGAGCCAGAAACACCGACAUGGCGAUGCAGGUGGUACUGCCUGGUGAGGCCGCGGUCUCCGGAAUCGCCUGCAGACGAAGUCACCUGGCGUCCAUCUGCACAUCACUUGCAGAAGUGAGGCCUGCUGACAGCGUCUGGCAGUGUCGGCAACGUGCCAGACAGCUAUCUGGAGUCCUGCUCACCGCAGGUCGCCGACAGGAGGGGCGACGCAUCGUCUCCGAGGUCGCCUCAGCAUCAGUGAGACCCCACUGGCCGUCUUCUUAGGCUUCAACUAGAUUGCGAACAACCUAUGCUGAGACAACGCCCAUGACGUGUGAUCCGGUACCGCUACCGCACUGCGUGCCUGUGCCCGCCGUGAGCCGCUAGUGCAUGGGUUCGACCAUGAGAAUGUGUGUUUAUGUUGCUUUUACUAUUGUUUAUACGUUGAAGUGACGAAUUGUUUAUUUUUCGCAAGCCUCCGCUGUCCGGUUGCCUGCAGCUCCAUGCAACGUCAGCUGUACUGUUGUUUUAAUGUUGUCUCUCCGCUCAGCUGUACUGUUGCCUCUCCGCUCAUAUAUGACACCCUCUAUAUGAAUGGCACUACUGAUUGUCACACCCACUGUCCGUAUUGUCCGUAGUGGUGUCUACGCCCAUGUUAAUACAGCGUGCAGAAUCCAGA